rnacentral:rRNA from 1 species
AGUCGAGCGAAUCUUUGGGAGCUUGCUCCCAUUGAUUAGCGGCGGACGGGUGAGUAACACGUGGGCAACCUGCCUGUAAGACUGGGAUAACACCGGGAAACCGGUGCUAAUACCGGAUAAUCCUUUCCCUCUCAUGAGGGAAAGCUGAAAGACGGUUUCGGCUGUCACUUACAGAUGGGCCCGCGGCGCAUUAGCUAGUUGGUGAGGUAACGGCUCACCAAGGCGACGAUGCGUAGCCGACCUGAGAGGGUGAUCGGCCACACUGGGACUGAGACACGGCCCAGACUCCUACGGGAGGCAGCAGUAGGGAAUCUUCCGCAAUGGACGAAAGUCUGACGGAGCAACGCCGCGUGAGCGAUGAAGGCCUUCGGGUCGUAAAGCUCUGUUGUUAGGGAAGAACAAGUACCGGAGUAACUGCCGGUACCUUGACGGUACCUAACCAGAAGGCCACGGCUAACUACGUGCCAGCAGCCGCGGUAAUACGUAGGUGGCAAGCGUUGUCCGGAAUUAUUGGGCGUAAAGCGCGCGCAGGCGGUCCUUUAAGUCUGAUGUGAAAGCCCACGGCUCAACCGUGGAGGGUCAUUGGAAACUGGGGGACUUGAGUGCAGAAGAGGAAAGCGGAAUUCCACGUGUAGCGGUGAAAUGCGUAGAGAUGUGGAGGAACACCAGUGGCGAAGGCGGCUUUCUGGUCUGUAACUGACGCUGAGGCGCGAAAGCGUGGGGAGCAAACAGGAUUAGAUACCCUGGUAGUCCACGCCGUANACGAUGAGUGCUAAGUG